rnacentral:rRNA from 1 species
UACGAAGGGGGCGAGCGUUGUUCGGAUUUACUGGGCGUAAAGGGCGCGCAGGCGGCUUUGUUUGUCAGGCGUGAAAGCCCCCGGGCUUAACCUGGGAACUGCGUUUGAUACGGCAGGGCUAGAGUUCGGGGAGAGGAGAGUGGAAUUCCCCAGUGUAGAGGUGAAAUUCGUAGAUAUUGGGAAGAACACCGGUGGCGAAGGCGGGUCUCUGGGCCGUAACUGACGCUGAGGAGCGAAAGCGUGGGGAGCAAACAGG